AAAAAUAUAAAUGAACUUAUCAAAGUAUGACUAUCGCUUUACCAUUGAUAAUUUCGUGUCAUUUCGUUAUUGCCAUGGUCCAACAUAUUUACGGUCCCCUUGACCUGGCAUUGCAAAUACUGUAAUCGUAAUUGCUUUGUCUACAAACAGAUUAAAAUACAUUUCCGUAUUUGCAUAAGUCAUGGCACUCCCCUCAGCGAACAAUUCUAAAAUUACGUAUUUUUAUUUUUAUCCAAUUAGCAACGGAUCAUUACUCUCCCAUUUCGCCUCACAUUUCAUGAAACGAUUAGUUACAUUUGCUAUAAUUCGCAUCGGCUGACUAUACCCUAGCUGCCAUAUAACUGAGCAAUCGGAAAUGACAAAUCUUUUCUGAGCAACAUGGCUCCCAGCGAUGUCUGUGUCUUGCCAAUUUCCAUCCGAUUCUUAAGCGAAAUACCUGGAACGAUUUUUAGUUCGAUUCUUCAUCAUUCUGCAUCAAAAUAUACAUAGGAAUCAAAUUUUUUUUAGAUCUUUCAUCAAAUUUUCUGGACGAUCCUUUUUUCUGAACGAAUAGCCAAUAUGGCUCCCAGCGAUUGCUAUAUAUUGGCCAAUUUCCGUCGGAUUCUAAAUCGGAAUACCUUAAUAGAUUUAUUUUUUAGUAAAUUUUCUGGACGAUCCCCUUCAAAAAUGGGGAGAAUGCAUGAUAAGCCAAUAUGGGCCCCAGCGAUUGCUAUAUCUUGGCCAAUUUCCAUCCGAUUCUUGAGCGGAAUACAUUAAACGAUUUAUAGAUCGAUUCUCCAUCAAUCUGCAUCAAAAUCUGUGAAACAAAUUUUUAUUAUAUUUUUCAUUAAAUUUUUUGGAUAUUCCCCUUUAAAGAAUACAUUAAACGAUUUGUAUCGAUUCUCCAUCGAUCUGCAUAAAAA